rnacentral:rRNA from 1 species
AAUCAACGCUGGCGGCGUGCCUCAGACAUGCAAGUCGAACGAUUAAGACUUCCUUCGGGAAGUGUAUAAAGUGGCGCACGGGUGAGUAACACGUAGGUAAUCUACCUUUGAUUGGGGCAUAACAAUCGGAAACGAUUGCUAAUACCGCAUAAUGCAGCGGCAUCUUAUGAUGACAGUUGUUAAAGGAGCAAUCCGCUUAAAGAGGAGCCUGCGGCAGAUUAGCUUGUUGGUAAGGUAAUGGCUUACCAAGGCUACGAUCUGUAACCGACCUGGGAGGGUGGUCGGUCACACUGACACUGAAUAACGGGUCAGACUCCUACGGGAGGCAGCAGUCGGGAAUUUUGGGCAAUAGGCGAAAGCCUGACCCAGCAACGCCGCGUGAAGGAUGAAGUCUUUCGGGAUGUAAACUUCGUAAGAAUAGGAAGAAUAAAUGACGGUACUAUUUGUAAGGUCCGGCUAACUACGUGCCAGCCGCCGCAGUAAAAC